GAUGAAGAACGUAGCGAAAUGCGAUAAGUAAUGUGAAUUGCAGAAUUCAGUGAAUCAUCGAAUCUUUGAACGCACAUUGCGCCCGCUAGUAUUCUGGCGGGCAUGCCUGUCCGAGCGUCAUUUCAACCCUCAAGCCCCCGGGCUUGGUGUUGGGGAUCGGCGAGCCUCCGCGCCCGCCGUCCCCUAAAUCUAGUGGCGGUCUCGCUGUAGCUUCCUCUGCGUAGUAGCACACCUCGCACUGGGAAACAGCGCGGCCACGCCGUUAAACCCCCAACUUCUGAACGUUUGACCUCGGAUCAGGUAGGAUUACCCGCUGAACUUAAGCAUAUCAAUAAGCGGAGGA
rnacentral:misc_RNA from 1 species